rnacentral:misc_RNA from 1 species
GAAAUGCGAUAAGUAAUGUGAAUUGCAGAAUUCAGUGAAUCAUCGAAUCUUUGAACGCACAUUGCGCCCCCUGGUAUUCCGGGGGGCAUGACUGUUCGAGCGUCAUUUCACCACUCAAGCCUCGCUUGGUAUUGGGCAACGCGGUCCGCCGCGUGCCUCAAAUCGACCGGCUGGGUCUUCUGUCCCCUAAGCGUUGUGGAAACUAUUCGCUAAAGGGUGUUCGGGAGGCUACGCCGUAAAACAACCCCAUUUCUAAGGUUGACCUCGGAUCAGGUAGGGAUACCCGCUGAACUUAAGC